rnacentral:rRNA from 1 species
UACGUAGGGCGCAAGCGUUGUCCGGAAUUAUUGGGCGUAAAGAGCUCGUAGGUGGCGUGUCGCGUCUGCCGUGAAAGCCCAUGGCUUAACUGUGGGUCUGCGGUGGAUACGGGCAGGCUAGAGGCUGGUAGGGGCAAGCGGAAUUCCUGGUGUAGCGGUGAAAUGCGCAGAUAUCAGGAGGAACACCGGUGGCGAAGGCGGCUUGCUGGGCCAGUUCUGACGCUGAGGAGCGAAAGCGUGGGGGAGCGAACAGG